rnacentral:rRNA from 1 species
AACGCGAAGAACCUUACCUGGGCUCGAAAUGUAGUGGAAUGGGGUGGAAACAUCCCCGUCUCGCAAGAGACUGCUAUAUAGGUGCUGCAUGGCUGUCGUCAGCUCGUGUCGUGAGAUGUUGGGUUAAGUCCCGCAACGAGCGCAACCCUUAUCCCUAGUUGCCAUCGGGUCAAGCCGGGCACUCUAGUGAAACCGCCCAGGAUAACUGGGAGGAAGGUGGGGAUGACGUCAAGUCCUCAUGGCCUUUAUGUCCAGGGCUACACACGUGCUACAAUGGUCGGUACAAACCGUCGCAAACCCGCGAGGGGGAGCUAAUCGGAAAAAGCCGGCCUCAGUUCGGAUUGGAGUCUGCAACCCGACUCCAUGAAGCUGGAAUCGCUAGUAAUCGCGGAUCAGAACGCCGCGGUGAAUACGUUCCCGGGCCUUGUACACACCGCUGUA